ACUCGGGUGUUGGCGAUMKUACGGUCGGCACCCAAGCGAAAGCGUUAAGUGUUCCACCUGGUGGAGUACUCCCGCAAGGGURAAACUCAAAGGAAUUGACGGGGGCCCGCACAAGCGGAGGAGCAUGUGGUUUAAUUCGAUGAUACGCGAGGAACCUUACCCGGGCUUGUAAGUUACUGAAGGUAGCAGAGAUGUUACCGUCCUUCGGGACAGGAAACUAGGUGCUGCAUGGCUGUGUUCAGCUCGUGCCUGGAGGUGUUGGGUUAAGUCCCGCAACGAGCGCAACCCCUGUGSAUAGUUGCCAGCAUAUAAAGGUGGGGACUCUAUCCGGASGGCCUGYGCAAACAGCGAGGAAGGGGGGGACGACGUCAAGUCCUCAUGGCCCUUACGUCCGGGGCUACACACGUGCUACAAUGGCCGGAACAGAGGGCCGCUACCCUGCAAAGUGGUSCCAAUCUCUCAAAGCGUGUCACAGUUCGGAUCGGGGUCUGCAACUCGACCYCGUGAAGUUGGAUUCGCUAGUAAUCGCGUAUCAGCAAGGAUGCGUUGAAUACUUUCCCGGGCCUUGUACACCMCCCCAUCAAGCCGKGAAAGCCGGAAGUACCUGAAGCAUGUA
rnacentral:rRNA from 1 species